CGCCAGACUCCUACGGGAGGCAGCAGUGGGGGAUAUUGCACAAUGGGGGAAACCCUGAUGCAGCGACGCCGCGUGGGUGAAGAAGUAUUUCGGUAUGUAAAGCCCUAUCAGCAGGGAAGAAAGAAGACGGUACCUGACUAAGAAGCCCCGGCUAACUACGUGCCAGCAGCCGCGGUAAUACGUAGGGGGUGAGCGUUAUCCGGAUUCACUGGGUGUAAAGGGAGCGUAGACGGCCGUGCAAGCCAGGAGUGAAAGCCCGGGGCCCAACCCCGGGACUGCUCUUGGAACUGUGCGGCUAGAGUGCGGGAGGGGCAGGCGGAAUUCCUGGUGUAGCGGUGAAAUGCGUAGAUAUCAGGAGGAACACCGGUGGCGAAGGCGGCCUGCUGGACUGCAACUGACGUUGAGGCCCGAAAGCGUGGGGAGCAAACAGGAUUAGAUACCCCGGUAC
rnacentral:rRNA from 1 species